GCCUGUAUGGCUCAGUCCGUUAAGCAUCUGACUUUGGCUCAGGUCAUGAUCUCACAGUUUGUGGGUUCAAGCCCAGCUUUGGGCU
rnacentral:tRNA from 1 species